UAACUGUUUUUUAAGUUAGAUGUUCUUGUGCGAUAUCAUAAAACAGUCAGUUGUUGGAUUGCCUGUGUGGCAGAACCACUUCUGGCACUGAUGACAAAACCAUGCUGUGUAUCUUCUCUGUUUGUUUGCCUUGCAUAGGUGACAGCGACCUCUCUGUACAUCCUUGUGGUGUAGCGGAAAGUGUGCCAAUGGCAGGGACUUGUGAGAUGAAGCAAGUGAUAUGCUCAGUCUCUUCUUGGAGCAGUAGUCUCCGAUGAGCUCUUUGGCCAGCUGUUGUCGGAAUUCUACAAUUGACUUCAGCGUUUUGUUAUAAUCCUCUACGCACUGUGGGCAUGGAACGGGCAGUCUCUCGCCCGUCUUGAGUCUUCGCUGGACCAUUGUGAUGGCAGUGGCAUCGGAUGCUGUUGACAUAAUGUGGACUACUUUAGUAUCCAUCCACGCUGUCACGGUGACUUUGUCCUUCUGGAGUAUCUCGUAUUCUCCCCUGAAAAGAGAUAUACCUUAGAGAAAUACGAGGCUGCUUGAGUGCCUCAGGAAACCCAAUACGGUCAGAGCGAGCGGUCCCACAUGCGUAUAUGCCGUCUUCCUCCAGAUCUUCGAGGAGCUUGACUGACGUGAAGUAAUUGUCAAAGUAGACGUGAUGGUGGAGAUUCUUCAAAGAAUUUGUCAGAUCUCUAACGACUCAAUAUCCCAAUUGUUUCUCAGGUUUGUUGGGGAGGUACUGCUUCAGUGAGGAUCUGCCUUGGAACUUGAUCAUGGCCUCGUCAACGGAACAUCACGGCCCAGCUUGUAUGCCGCAGAACAGCGCUCGGUGAUCAUGUUGACGAGGGGACGUACCUUACCUAUGCGAUCGCUACCGGGUGUGCCAGGAGUUGGGAGAGUGGUGUUAUCGCAAAAGUGGAGGUAGCAACGAAUAUCUCGGAAACGAUCUCGUGAUAUUUUUGAGGCAAUGGUAUUGCAGGUGUGUAGAACCGCAGAAAGAUCUCCAAGGGGGAAUCUGAUACUGGUACUCCUGUGGGACCAACAGAUUGGGUGAAAGCCACUCGUGGAUGGUCUCGAAUGGUGGGAGUCCAAGGGCAGGAACCAGGAGCAGCACUGUUUAUUGUAAGUGUGUGUGUGUGUGUGUGUACAUAACGGUGUGUUGAGUACAUGUAGCUAAUUGAAUUGGGAAUGCUAAUUGGAAAACUCUAGUAGUACUGCAUAGACCACUUCUGUUUGUGUGAGAUAGUACCCUUUAUAAAUUCUCUCUACUAGUACUGCAUAGACCAUUGAGAAGCUGUAUGUUAUUAUGAUGGAACUACACUACCUCUUACAUGUGUAAGGUUAUACAUAUCAUUCUAGAUGUAGGGUCAUAAUUAGGCAGACCAGACAGAGGUCACAUAAAUUUUUUUGGCUUCUGUUUGUGUGAGAUCAGGGGCGUAGCCAGACUUUUGACAUAGGGGUUUCCUUUGAAAAACCAGCGGCGCAGUAGCGCCGGGAAAUUUUAGCCACGCCCACUUCCGGUACCACACCCUCUUGAUUGGGGCACACCUACUGGUUACACCUACUGCUCAUUGUUUGUAAUGACUUUUUUUACAUGUUUGUGAUAAGCUAGCUAGACUAGCUAGUCUAGCUAGCUAUAGACAUUCUAAAAGGCAGGUGUCAAUUGUGUAUUGCUAGUCUAGCUGAGCACCAUUACAUUUACCUGAGAGGUUUCAUGUGGCUGAGAUUGUUCUAAACUUGUCCUUCCUGAAUAUCGAAUAAAGUUGUGCUUAGAGCUGAGUCUGAGAAUACUGGAGCAUGCAGGAUUGAUACUAGAACUUAAGUCUUAGUCUUGGUCUUCUUUGUUUGAGGUAGCUAGCUAGCCAGCUGAGACAAAGCUAGCCAAAGUGAAACGAUUCACGGUGCUAUCUCUACAUGAUUUGCAGCCACGUGCAUGAAAAGAUGGGCAGGGCUGCUUGAUUUCAAUUAUUGGGGAGCCCUGCCCAAUUUUCUCAGCAGCUCCUGGGGGGGUUUCUGGGCAACCAGGAAACAAUGGUAGCUACGCCCCUGGAGAUAGUACCCUUUAUAAAUUCUCUCUAUUAGUACUGCAUAUCUAUUAGUACUGCAUAGACCAUUGAGAAGCUGUAUGUUAUUAUGAUGGAACUACACUACCUCUUACAUGUGUAAGGUAUACAUAUCAUUCUAGAUGUAGGGUCAUAAUUAGGCAGACCAGACAUUAGGCAGACCAGACAGAGGUCACAUAAAUUUUUUUGGCUUCUGUUUGUGUGAGAUAGUACCCUUUAUAAAUUCUCUCUAUUAGUACUGCAUAUCUAUUAGUACUGCAUAGACCAUUGAGAAGCUGUAUGUUAUUAUGAUGGAACUACACUACCUCUUACAUGUGUAAGGUUAUACAUUAUUAUUCUAGAUGUAGGGUCAUAAUUAUUUUAGAAAGGCCAAAGGUCACAUUAAUUUUUUGGGUUUUCUGUUCUUCUGUGAAGGCAUCCCUCCUUAUGAAGUUGGCUUGUGCAUUAUUCCCAAUGAUGGCUGUUGUUUUUUAGGCAUCCCAAAUGUGACAGGCUCUGGGAAAACCAGACAUUUGGAGCAGAAUUUUGUAUUGAGCUAUAGCUAAAUUUGUGCCUACAGUGUAAAAUCUCAAAUAAAAUUUUAUUGGUGUAUAAGUAUCUGCAGUCCUUCUACUACCUCUCUGUAAAAUCUGAUGCUCUAAAUCCAACUCUUUCCAUCGAAGCGCCUCAUCCAAACUUUCGCUAUUACCUUAUUUUUCCUAAUUGAGCAAUCUUUGACAGGCGUUUUUCUCGAUACUACAUUUUACGGCUUCAAGUUUCUAACGUGCAUAACUCGGGUAUAAAACCAGGUAUGUGAACACUAAGCAUAUCAUUAUGUAGGCAAUGCUCUGCUCUAUCACUUGGUACAUUAAUCAACGAAAUUUUAGUCUGCUCCAAACGUCUGGUUUUCCCAGAGCCUGUCACAAAUAUACAGUUACAUAAUUAUUAGAUGGUUGCAUUUGUUCCCAAUGAAUAUGCACCUAAGGUUAGUGGACUUGUGUUCUGUGUGAUAUGCACUAUAAUGUGUUUGUGUCCAACAGAUACUAGGUUCUUAGGAUUCCAAAGGUCACUUAAUUUUUUGGGCUUCUGUUUGGGGUGAGAACAAUGCCCUUCUUUAUGAAGUUGGCUUCUCUGUUCCACAAAUCAUGUGUGGUUAGUAUGGUGAAAUUGCAUGAUGGUAGCAGUAGUAGUACAAGCAUGAGCAUUACCUUGCAGAAGUAGUGGACCUAGCUCUGCCUCUUCCUCUCCUACCUCUGUGCAAAUAAAUUAUAAAUUGUUGUAACAGUAGUAGUACAAGCAUGAGCAUUACCUUGUAGAAGUAGUACUAGUAGUGGUCCUAGCUCUGCCUCUUCCUCUGUGCAAGUACAUGUAAAAUUAUUUAUUCUAAACUUGCUAAUACCUUUUCGUUGCACCUGCUCCUCUGUAAAUAUUAGUACACUCAAAAGUAACUCUACUGUUGUGUAGUUGCUUUUACCUUGUCGUGGGAGGUUCAGGGUCAGCUGUUGAACGUGGAGGGACUGGGGGUGAGACGGAAGUGUCUGGGGGUAAGAAGGAUGUGUCUGGGGGUGAGAAGGAUGUAUCUGGUGAAAAGUGGUAUCUGGUGAAAAGUGAAAAUCUAUAGGUCCAUAAAAUCAUCAUCGCUGCCGUCUGCCAUGGGGUCGUUACAGUAUUCUGUAUCUGAGAAGUCUGAGAGGUCUGAAUCUUGGUCACUGCCAUCCAAUAGACCUUGCAGCACCUCCUCUCUAGUAUAUAGAGGCCUCUUUGUCAUUGUUGCACUGUAGAAUAAAUUUUAUUGUAUUUGUUGUGAUGUCUUGAAUUGAAUUUUUAAUUUUUAAUAAUGCAAAUUUCACUCGAAAAUAUCAGCAUAUUUUUUGAUAACUAACCUGUGGUGAUUGGUGUCUGGUGAUUGGUGUCUGUACAGCUUCUAAUGACCUUUGUGGGAAUCCUUGCAAGGUUAUGGAGACUCUGAAGGUGCUAGCUUACCACAACUGAGCUAAUAGUGGAGUACUAUGCAGCUGCCGCAAUAUUGCGUCAACCGCGGCUAUCAGCUUAUUCCGUAAUCAGCUUAUUCCGUAAUGACGCAAAUUUGCGUCAACCGCGGCUAAUCGGUUAAUGAAUGGUUCCAAAGACAUUUUCUGUUGUAUGCUCCAUCGACUCGACCAUUAUUAUUACUUUUAGAUGGUCAUUCUUCGCAUUAUUGCCCUGAGACGAUACGGGCUGCUGCUGCUUCUCAAAUCAU